GAGCAGGGGUCUGGUCGCUCGCACGCCUUGGCCCUGGGCCGGGCGAAACAAAGGCUCAGUAACGCAGUUGCUAGAGCGCCGCCGGUCGCCUGGUAACCGCCUGCUGCCUCUUUAUCCGGGGGCGUCUCCUGGCUGGGGUGGAGCUUAAGUCCCUGUGGGCUCCCGCCCGUUCUCCUGGUGGCUUGCCGUGUCCUGGAGCUAGUUCGCGUCUCCGCUCCUGUUCCUAUGCGGGCUGCGGCAGCGGCGCUGCUAGCAGCGUGGCUCCUGGCGGGCGGCCCCUCAGGGCAACGGGUCGCUUCCCAGCGAGUGCUCGCCGGCCGCGCUGGGGCUGCCCCGGAGCGCCAUGAGUUCGGAGCCGCCCCGCGCCUCUCUGCUCCGCGCCCUGUUUAAGAUGGAGCCGGCGGCAGCCGCCUCCGAAGUGCUGGGGGGAGCCUCAGAGUUCGUGAAAGAUCGGCUGUACUUUGCUACUUUACGAAAUAAACCGAAAAGUACCGUAAAUACCCACUACUUCUGUACUGAUGAGGAACUGGUCUAUGAAAAUUUCUAUGGAGAUUUUGGACCUUUAAAUUUGGCAAUGUUAUACAGAUACUGCUGUAAACUAAAUAAGAAAUUAAAGUAUUUCAGUCUAUCAAGAAAGAAGAUAGUGUACUAUACAAGUUUUGACCAGCGGAAACGAGCAAAUGCGGCAUUUCUAAUAGGUGCAUACGCUGUAAUAUACUUGAAGAAAACACCAGAAGAAGCUUACAGAACACUUUUGUCUGGAUCUAAUCCACCAUAUCUUCCAUUUAGCCACUCAGCAAAGGAGGAUCAGAUUGUCUCUCUUCUCAUACCUUGUACAGGAGCCAGGGAUGCUUCAUUUGGGAACUGCACGUACAAUCUUACGAUCUUGGACUGUUUACAGGGAAUAAAUAAGGCCUUGCAGCAUGGAUUUUUUGACUUUAAGACAUUUGAUGUGGAUGAAUAUGAACACUAUGAGCGGGUGGAAAAUGGUGACUUCAACUGGAUUAUUCCGGGGAAAUUUUUGGCAUUUAGUGGACCACACCCAAAAAGCAAACUUGAAAAUGGUUAUCCUCUUCAUGCACCUGAAGCCUACUUUCCCUAUUUCAAGAAACAUCAUGUCACAUCGAUCAUAAGACUAAACAAAAAAAUUUAUGAGGCAAAGCGAUUUACUGAUGCUGGUUUUGAGCAUUAUGACCUGUUCUUCAUAGAUGGAAGCACACCAAGCGACAGUAUAGUUCAGAGGUUCUUGAACAUCUGCGAAAAUGCUGAUGGUGCUAUUGCUGUACAUUGUAAAGCUGGCCUGGGGAGAACAGGAACACUGAUUGCCUGUUACAUAAUGAAACACUUCAAGUUCACACAUGCUGAAGCCAUUGCUUGGAUAAGAAUAUGUCGACCAGGUUCUAUUAUAGGACCCCAGCAACACUUCUUGGAAGAGAAGCAAGCAACAUUAUGGCUGGAGGGAGAUCUCAUCCGAUCAAAGCAGAAACAACGAGUAGUUGAUGGAAAUAUUAACAGAGUUCUUUGUGGCUUGAAUGACAUUUCAAUCAGUGACAGCUUGAAUGAAGUACAAGACUUGGAUCAAUACAGGGAGAAUGAUUUUGAAGACAAAGCAGGUGUGGAAACUCAGAAUGGCAUGACACAGGGAGAUGAGCUUAAUGCCUUAAAAAGUCGGAGACGGCCAUGUUCUGCUACAACUGGAGCUCUGAGGCUGCAAGACAUGAAACUGCACACCAGGUCAAUAUCACAACCUUUCAGACUGAAUACUUCAGGUGGCACAGAAGGAUCCAUGUCUCCUCUGAAGGCCUCCAAAGUGAUGGCAGUUAAUUCACCAUCUGCAGAAAGAAUAAGCAGAAUUCCCGCAUCCUCAGGCCCUAACCUUAAAAGCGUUUCCAUAAACUCCAGACUAGCCAGUUCUCUAGGGAACCUGUAUGCUGCUUCAGAUGAUGAUGAGAGCAAAAUGACAUCAUUGGCCUCUAGGACAGGUUUUUCUAUAAGCCAACUCUCCAGCCACUUGAAUGGCAGCUUGCAGCUGCCGCACAGAAAUAACCAUGAACUGAACAACAACUUAUACAACAGAAACAGCAGUAGUGGCAACCUGAGCAGCCAAACCAGUUUUCACAGCGCCGUGACAGAUGAGUACACAUCAACCUUCCUUUAUGGGCCUUGCAACUCCUCCAGCGAUUGACCAUACCAGAGUCAGUCAAUUUCUGUAAGUUCAUAGUUAAAACAGCACAUUCAGGCAUCUCACCGAUGCUUAUCUUCCUUGCUUCUGUGAGCAAAACUGUUGCAAAAAAAUCUUAACCCAGCAUAAUUCUCUGACUUCCUUUAAUGUUUCUGAACACCACCUUUGUCUGUUUCCUUUUUAAGUAAUUAUCAUUUCAGCUGCUUUUUUUUUCCCAUCUCUUUCAAGCAUCUAGAUCAUGGAGGGUUCAUGGAAAAUAAAUCACUCCUGAACUUCAACUAACACCUUUUCUGAUAUCUUUUUUUAUGGACCUUCUUACCUUUAAGAUUUUAUUUCAAAUUAUCCAUAACAUUUUUUAUAAGUUUAUUAUGUAUCUUAUUCUUCAUGCAGUAACAGAUUUAAAGAAGCUUUUGAUUGUAUCGUACUAAAUGGAAAGUACAACAUUCUUAAAAAUAGGGCUCACUUGAAAGAUGAGUCCACUUGACUUGAAACCUAGUCCUUUUCUAACACCAAAUGUGAAAAUUAUUUUAGAACAAGAUAUUUCUCAUGGUCUCACCAUUUUAGCUUUUAUUCAACAACUUUGCCUUGGGCUUAUUUUGUGUCCUUUUUCUAUGUGAGUCUAUAUAAAGAGGAUACACGGAUAAAUUAAUGCAACUUGAAAGUGAUUCUAUACUAAAUGUGGAGAAGAGACUAGAGAAACUUCAGUUAUGAAACCAGAAAUCACUUCAGCUAUUUUAGGGGGAAAAAAUAUUUACUACUAUAAAUCUAAAACCAAUUUAAAAUGUCUGGUUUCCAAAGAUCUGAUGUCCUACUAAUUUUAAAAAUUAGUGCAGUGUUUUUAAUAGAAUAUAUUGGCUACAUUUAAUUGAACCUGUCAGCCUCUGUUAGUAGUACUGACACUUCAGAUUUUUAACUGCUGGAAAUAAAAUUACUUUCAUAUGAAAUUAACUUCAGAAUAUUAUACCUUUCUUUUCUGUUUCCUUACCACUGAUAAACUGUUUCAUUGUAAACAAAGUUUUAGUGUUAUACCUGCUACGGUUUUUGUGUGAUGAGUUCCCUGUUUUAAAACAGCUAAUAGACACAUUGCAUGUAACUAGGAUGUCAGCCAAAAAGAUCAUUCAUGGGUUGUGUUCUCUUUUUCCUGAAGAAGUAGGGGAUCUAUCCUCUCUUCAACAGCUAGUAGAUCGCACUACUUACAGUUCAGAAGCCACAUGUUUACAUCUUCAGAGUAUGAAUUGUACUUUCUGAGGAUAGAUGACAGUAGGAAAUAAAUUCUCAUUGUUUCAUUGUGGAGUUAAAUUGCAUGUGUGACUGAAACCUAACUAGUAUACAAAGUACAUUGAAAAUUAAGAUAGUUGAGGGAGAUUGACUCUGUACUCUCAUCAAUUCAAUGGAUAAUUCCACUGGAAAAGGAGUUACUGUGCUAAGAUGUGCUUGACCUAAAGCAACUCUUUAAAAAACUUGAUGCUUUCAGACUCCUUUGAAAGUACAUUUAGCUGUUUAUCCACUACAACUUACCUGGAAAUAAAUGUUAAUAUUCUAUGAUCUUAGAAUCACUCAGUGUUCUACAUUGAGUUCAAAUUUGAGUUUAAACUUUAUUUUAAACAUCAGCAGUAACUUAUUUACAAGGGACUUCUUGAAUAUCGCCAUAUCCUUUCAGUUGUUUUACCUUUUAAUUUGGCUGUGUUUGUACCUGCUACAUGGAUUGAGGUUAAGCUAUAUAUAAUUGAGAUUUUUCUCAAGUUGGAUAUAGAAACCAUCUCAGUUUUCUUAUGAUGAAUCCAGUUCUAGAACAAGAGAACUGGUUUAGUUUAAUUCCUCCAGGCGUAGAGGUGAGGAAACUGGUAACUUCAUUUUCACGCAACGCAAGUACAUUUUUCUUCCCUCUCUCUGCCCCCUGCACCUCAGUAUGGAAGAGAAAAUUAUUCAAUAGUCUUUUUUUCUACUGUUUUGUAAUGAAACAUCAAAAAACCCAUUUAUUAAUACUAUUGUUCCACAUUCCAUUUAAAACAAAAAAUAACUAUGACUGACUUCCUGUUGUUGUCAGCCAUAUUUUUCCUUCAUCAGUGUAAGCUUAUAAUCCACUUCCUUUUAUUGCAUUUAUGCUGUUGUGUGCUGAUGAACUAGAAGAAAAGCUUGAUUUUCAUAGAACAAACAACUUACCAUUCUAGCCAAAUAGAAUAAAUAUUUGCAAAUUUUACAAAUUGGAUGUUUUGAUUAAGCAGAAUCUCACAAUUAUAACUUUUGGAAAUAUUCUUAUCGAGUAUAAUCACAUUUAAGGUACCACAAUAAAAAUUUUACUUUGUUAUUACAAUAGUUAUAAAUCCAAAUAUCACUCUUUUUAAAAUGUAUUUUUAUUGAAGAGUACGUAACUGGGUAGUCUUAAGAUGAGUCACCUUUUGCUUCUAUAGCUGUCAUGGAAACUGGCAAGAUGGAAAAAUUUAUAAAAAAUCGAGAAGUGUAGCAGUAUUCUAAAAUUCAUAUACAUGAUCUUUAUACUUGUAGAAUAGUUUUUCUUAAUAUGAACUUACUGCUAAUGAAUAUAGGAUGGCCUUUGCAAAAAGAGACAAACACAAGUGCAUCUUACUGAUCUGUAAAUUUAGCAGAGUCAAAGGAUCACUUCAAGUGCGUAUGCCUUUUAUAUAAUAUAUCCCGAUUUAUUUUAGUGGAUCUUGUGUAUUCACAGUAACUCUUCCCUGCUGCAACAAUGUUUUGGGAGACUUGAUGCACAAUUCAGAAAAGUUAAAUUACUUUUUCUAAUUACCUGGAAAAAGUGCAUGUUCAAGUACUAAUGGAUAGCCCUAAAUGUUAUAGGAUUGUUCCCCCUUCAAAGUUAACUCACAGCUGACUUGAUCCUGAAGAUGAAUGCAUGACAAAUAUGGUUCUAGUGUCUAGAUGGAUCUGUGGCUUAUUUUUUCUUCCAGGAGGCUUUCACACCUCCUAUUGAAGAAGGAAAAUGAUAGUGAUCUAAGCAGUUGCUUCAGAGUGAACUCCAUGAGAUAUCAUUAACGUCCCUUCAGUCUGAGUAUGUUCAGUACUAAAGCCUUGAUGCUUUGGUGAAACCUGUUAAAAUCGAAGUCCUUCAUGAAGGAGAAGAACUUAAGGAAGGAAUCCGCGCACUCAGAGGAAUCUUCAAGACAACAUAUUAAAACCUUAACACCAAGAGGAGACUUCUUAACAGGCAGAAAUUUCUUGUUAAUGACUACUGCAGAUGCACUGAUUUUGAAUUUGUGAAAAUUAUUUUACUUUGUUAUACACAGAUUUAAUUUUUUAAUGUUGACAGCUUGAAUAUAUUUCUAAUGAGUUUCAUUAAGACAUUUAUUAACAUGUGUACAGUGUUAAAAUAUGUAUUAAGAGAAUAUUUUGGUAAGCAAUACAUAUAAAAAUAUGUAAAAAUUAGAAUAUAUUUUAAUUUAGUGUUCACUUUGCUACAAAAAUGUAUAUUUUAAAGAAUUUUUACAUGUUUAUCAAAGAUGAAAAUUUUUUUAUGAACAAGAUGUUUUUCUUCGUUUAUGGGUCCAUCAUUAUUGCUGAAAGCCUAAUGGUCUUCUGGUAACUUAAUGGCAGUCUAACUAGUGAGAUACUAGUUAUCACGCUAUUAACUGAAAGCACUUGAUACAUAGUCUGCUUUCCACUUUCAGCUGCUAAUGUUUCAUAAGGAAACACUAUGAAACAAAAAUAAAAGGAAAGUAUUUGUUGAGAUGCAAUGUAACUUGCAUCUUCUAUUGCAAAGAGGAAGUAAUUUAUCUGAUGAUUCAAUUGUACAAUUAAGGCUUUCUUUCAAUUUGUCUUAAAGGCACAUUUUCUUUUCAAUGUACAAUGCUAAAUUUUGCUAUGCAAUAUAUACUGCAAAGAUGAAGGCAGACCAAACUUAAGUUGGUAAGAAUGUGUAUGUAUAAUGAAUUUGGCAGUGCUGUGCGCUUACAUGUUUUUAACCUACGUUUGGCAAUACAUAUACAGUUUCAUUAGUAAAGCAUACUAAAGUAAAUGUUGGAAGUAUUAAAUUUUCACUUAUCAAUUGGAUGCUUCAUAAACUUUUUAAUUUGAAAAUUAUUGUUAAACAUACAGCUAAGGUAACCUCCUGUAUCACAGAAUAUUUUUAUCAGUUGUAAAGAUGCUCUUUAACAUAUAGUCUAAUCAGGUGUGAUUAGAGAUGAGACUUAGAAUGAAGUGGUAUUACAGUGAAGUACUAGAGAUCACAUGUAAAAUUUUCAGAACUCCACAAGUGCAUAGUAAGCAAAAACAAAAAAAAAGGACUUGAUUUGCUAUUAAUUUAGAAGACAAAAACCACAUGUGUUACCUAUGAGUUUUUCCGAUACCUGUGGAAACUUGAAAAUAAAACUUGGUUGAAUUGUCAGUCUUUGUUCCUGAGGACCUGGGAAUGCCUUGCAUCUGCUUUACAACCGAAGUUAAGAUAAAGUGCCACAUUCUUCUUCUAAAAAAAAAGAUCAGAUCACAAAUUGCUAUGGGAAGUUGUACUGAAAGUGUUAAUAAGCAAUAUUGAGAGCAGCUAUAUAAAUCACUGAAUAAAAUUACAUGUAAUACUGUACUUUUUUCACAACUGUGUAUAUGUAACAUAUACACACACAAAGUAGCAUAUGUGUGUGCAUAUAUAUACAAUAUACUGUAUAUGAAUUCUAGAUUAAUGGUAAGGUAAUUCUACCUCUUAUCAAGAAUUUUGUCAUGUACUUUGUUAUAAAUAGUUUUCCUUAAUAAAAUAUUGUUUAAUUUUGAAAAUGUAGAGAUAUAUAUACACACAUACAGCUAAUUGAUAAUA